rnacentral:lncRNA from 1 species
UUGUGCCUUGGUUUUCAUAUGCUUUGCAGAUGAUGCUACUGUGAACACUUGGGCAAACAUUCUUCAAAAGUCAAAUACCUAAGUGUCUCUCACCAUAGUGCCAUGUAAAUACUGUGAAAAAUGAAAGGCAGAAACUUUGAAGCUCCUCUAAGGGAGAGAUGGCAGGAGGAGAGAGGAGAGCCAACGAGAGAUGCAUGGCAGGUAACCCAAAAGGAAGAUGGAAAGAUGCACAGUAGUGUAAAUAAUCUGAAGCAUAUUAACAAUGAUGACUUUCAAGGAUCCUAUCAUGGAACGCAUAAGACAUCAUCUCUGACAUGUCUGACUGAAAAAGGUCAUGAGGCUAUCACAUUGGAGGAGAGAUGGAUAACAGAGAGGCAGCCUGAGUCAUUCUGACUUCCAGAACAUUCUCUAUGAAGGUAUUACGGAAUGACAUGGCCAAGAAUCAAACAGGAUGAGAAAGCAUGGAGAGUUUGAGAUCUGUCCUGAUGAAAGCAGAGAUUCUUUAGAGUUCUGAAGAAGAAUUUCUCACUUAAAAAACAAUAGUAAACGACUAUUUUAGUAAGUAAAGGAAUCCACUAAUGAGCAAAUCCACCAAACAGUACCUGAAUGAAGGUAAUUGAAGAUGAGGACCUAUUUGAAAAUAAACAUCUUCUCUCAUCUGAAAUGGUAAAUGAC